UAUCAAAAGUGCAUAAUACUCCAUUGUACUUCAUUCAGUUCUAAUAGUUCAACAUAGCCGUGCAGCUGGGUUACCGUCAAGAACUUGACGUCCGUGCAACCCCCUAAUUCUUUCACACAAACAUAUGGAUAUUAAGGGCGUUUUUGGGAGGUAACCAGGAGGUGCAAACAAACGCUGCAUAGCCAUUGAGAUCACAUAGUAAGGAGCUGGCUCAAGGGCUAUUAAAGUUUUUUUUCCUCGUGUUUAGUUGUAACAUGAAGGCACAGUUUCUAUAGCCAUACAUGCGUGUUCACUUCUUGCUCCUUG